rnacentral:rRNA from 1 species
AUGUCACCGCAUGGUGGUGUGUGGAAAGGGUUUACUGGUCUUGGAUGGGCUCACGGCCUAUCAGCUUGUUGGUGAGGUAAUGGCUCACCAAGGCGACGACGGGUAGCCGGCCUGAGAGGGUGACCGGCCACACUGGGACUGAGACACGGCCCAGACUCCUACGGGAGGCAGCAGUGGGGAAUAUUGCACAAUGGGCGAAAGCCUGAUGCAGCGACGCCGCGUGAGGGAUGACGGCCUUCGGGUUGUAAACCUCUUUCAGCAGGGAAGAAGCCACAAGUGACGGUACCUGCAGAAGAAGCGCCGGCUAACUACGUGCCAGCAGCCGCGGUAAUACGUAGGGCGCAAGCGUUGUCCGGAAUUAUUGGGCGUAAAGAGCUCGUAGGCGGUUUGUCGCGUCUGCUGUGAAAGCCCGGGGCUUAACCCCGGGUGUGCAGUGGGUACGGGCAGACUAGAGUGCAGUAGGGGAGACUGGAAUUCCUGGUGUAGCGGUGGAAUGCGCAGAUAUCAGGAGGAACACCGAUGGCGAAGGCAGGUCUCUGGGCUGUUACUGACGCUGAGGAGCGAAAGCAUGGGGAGCGAACAGGAUUAGAUACCCUGGUAGUCCAUGCCGUAAACGUUGGGCACUAGGUG